ensembl:lncRNA
AAGCCAAAUGUGUAAGCAUGGAAGAGACCUUGGAAGCAUGGAGCCUUCACGCUGCAGAAGGAGGGACCCUGUGAUUGGUCGAAUCUGACUUGGGAAAUUCUCUGGCAGGUGAAACGCAUCCCUGCCUGGCUCCUGGAGCUCCUGCGCACAGGGGACGCGGAUGCCGCCCGUUUCGGGAAACUCCAGCCGUGCGUUCCCCCUGCUACUACGUCACCACAGAAGACAAUGUCUGUGACCAAACGCAUGGGGCUUUUCCCGCCCACUCAGCAGUGGACACCAGCUGGGGUCUCUGGCUGAGCCCUGACACGGUCCACCUGGAGACCGUCAGAUCCGCAGCUCAGCACUCCGUGGAGAGCCAGGAAGGGUCCCCAGUUUCCCGGCAUGAGAAGAAACAGCCACGCCGUGUUAUGCGACAAUUCUCCAGGACCACGGACAGCAGCACCGCUGGGGUCAGGACCCUGCCACAAACUCAUCCACAGCAAUCACUCUGCGUCUUCAGGUCUACCCACCCCUGGCUAUGGCUGCUGGGACGUUUUGGUUUUCUUUUCUCUUUAUAUGUGCUUACUGUGCCCGUACAUGUGUUUUUGUGUUUCAAUUUAUGUACAAAUGUCAAUUUUUUGGAGAGAAGUCCCUGCUCCACCAACCACUUCUCUGUGAAAUUGGAAAAAUGACUUGACAUUUAUCUUUUUGGUCUGUAAAAUGAGAAUAAUAAUAUUCUAUUAGUGUAUGAUGACACUGGGAUGAUUCACGAACACACUUUGACAAGUGCCUGGUAUACAGUAAGUGCUCCAUUAGUAUAGAUUGCUAUUCUGAUCAUGUCUUGUGUGCUUUGGCUCCUGUCUUGUUCCACCACACAUUUAGCAUGGCCUUUAGGUGCAUAUGGUUCUUUGAGAUGAUGGUUGAUCUUUCUCUGUUCCAUGUGCAUACAAGGACACUCCACUGAUUUGUGAAUGAGGACGCUUACUGGACAAGGAUUAGCACGGAACUCAGUUGCCCUGCCAGAGAGCAGGCACCCUGUGUCUUCACCUUUGCAUGGGGAGUAACACAGCCUGCACAAAUGCAGAACAAGAGCUCAGAGCAACUCUCCAUCUCAUUCUCCCAUUCCCAGGGCCAGAGUUCACAUACUUUUGUUAUAUGAUCUAAUAAAAGGCUCAACUCUUGUAGUAUCAUUCAGAAAGGACCAGUAAACCUGCAUUUGUAAAGGUGUUCAGAACCCGAACACUUUCCAAUAGAUUAGGAGUAUUUAAAUACUAUCAUUGCUUCGUUAAGUACUGGCUUAAUAUGUACAUUUUGUCUCUUCAAGAGCCUUGAGAGAAUUUUUUAAAAAGAGUGUUUUAAAGGUUUUAAAAUUUCUGGUAUUCUAUCAAUUGCUAUGUGCUGGUCAGCUUGGGUCGCCAUAACAAAAUACCAUAGCCUGUGGCUUACACAGUGGAAGUCUCUUUUCUCACCGCACUGGAGGCUGGAAGUCCAAGCACAGGUGCCAGCGGGUCGGGGUCUAGGGAGGACUUCUCCUGGGGGCAGCUGCCGUCCUCCCGCUGAGUCUCACAUGGUAAAGGGUGGGCAGUGGGAAGAGGUCUCCUGUCUGUUCUCAUAAGGUCACUGAUCCCAUUCGCACGGGCUCCUCCCCUGUGACUUAAUCACCUCCCAAAGUGCCUGUCUCCAGACUCCAUCAGAGUGGGGAUUAGGGCUUCCACUCAGGAGUUGCAGUCUACACCAUGAUAGUUUCCAGGACCUUGGGCACUCAACAGGUAACAUUUAUUCCGUUAACGCAACUCAGCUCCAUCCCAGCAGCAUGCGACAGAAUGAAGAGAAGUGAACUUGGAAGGAUUGACGCUUCAAAUUGGUAAGGCUGAGGGUCUUCCUGGAGCCACGGUUGAGCCACUGUGUCCAGCAGGGCAUUUAGGGUCUCAUACGUCUGAGGGGUCACAGUGGCCCUGGCUUGUUAAUAUGCACAGGGUGCCCUGGUCACCCCUAAAGGCAGCUAAGAAGACUGCAUGGGAGUUAGGGCAAUUACUCUGAACCCUUUCUUCUUUUAAAUGAGUUUUAAUUAAAAAACUUUUUUAAGAGACAGGGUCUUGCUCUUUUGCCGAGGCUGGAGUGCAAUGGCAUGAUCAUCACUCACUGCAGCCUCAACCUCCUGGGCUCAGGGGAUCCUCUUGCCUCAGCCUCCCGAGUGGCUGGAACUACAGGUGCGAGCCACUGUGCUCAGCUUCCAAGUGAUUCUUUACGCUUGCAUUCUGGUGCCGCAUUCUUAGGCCCGUUUCUCUUAGCUGAAUUCCUGCCGCUGACUCCAGAAUUUCCACCAGGAUUCCGUGUCACUGAUACUCUAUUUCAGGCUUCUAAGAACACCGUCUCUGCUGGCUUUUAACACCUUGUGUUUUCUCUGGGAAGAAUGUCUUCUUCAGCUCCAAACCCAGUGCCCGUCUGCUCUAGGCUAACUCUCACCUUCUGCUCUGGGGAUGGGAAAAAGAGGGAAAUUAGGACUCUUCAGCGAGCUCUGUUUCUCUUUAGGGGAGGUGCUCAAGCCCUGUGAUCCUCGGUGCCAUGUUUUGAUUGCCCAGGAAUGGAAGAUUAUAAUCUGUCUGGUCUUUUCUGUUUUCAAUAGCAGGUGAGACCCUGGACUGGUCACAUUCCCUCUUCACCCUGCUCCCCUCUGGCUUCUGCAAAGAAAGUUCAUCUGAUUAUGAGUUAAUCAAUCAAAUUAGUUAAUGACUGCAUGUUGGCUGAGUGCCUUCUGUGUUUACAUAUUUUAUUGUUUUUUCACUUAUCCAGGUUCUCUCUCCCCUAUAAUUACCUGGUUAAACUCUAUCUGGAGUCUUGCUUCUUACAGGAAGCCCUCCCUGACUGCCUGGGGUGAGGGCAUGGCCCUUUCCCUGGUGCUGGGCUGUGCUCCACCUGAGUCCCCACUGUACUAUGAACUCUAUGAAGGGAGGACAGGUCUUGAUCACUGCUAUCCCCGUCCCCAGGAUAGCACUUGAGAGGUGUAACUAAGGUGUAGUCACUGAUAAGUGAUCAGUGAUUACCAGUUUGAGGACACGAGCAAACGCUGAUACACUCCUUGAAAACAGUGAGCAGUCUCUUGUGUGAUAGUAACGCCGCCUCCUCACACCUGUGUGUUUCUUGGCAUAACGUGUAUGCAUUUGAAUUGAAAAUGUACUUUUGGUGACGUCACUGAAAUCAGUAAAUCAUCUUUUUUUUGGAUGCCAUGUUGGCCUGUCGUGCUCUGCCAAGUUUUUUUUUGUCACGUAUUUUUAGUAAUAUUGAGAAACUUGCUAUAAUUCAUUAAUUUUUUCCAAAAGUAAGCCAUAAGAUACUCUAGAUACCUGUAAGUCUGGAUGUAGAUGAAGUGUUUUCAGUUGCUCUAGACCCGGGGUUCUCAACAAAGAGUGAUUUGCCGCCUGGAAGCUGUAGUGGUGCUUGGAGACAUUUGGUGGUUCCACCUGGGGAGGGUCAGAGGGUCCCUACUGGCAUUGAGUGGGUGGCGGCCUGGUUCUGCUGGUCACCCCACGGCGCAGGGAGCCCCCACAGCAGAGAAUCAGUCAUCUCCGCACUGAGACAGAGAGGGUCUUGUCUAUAUCGUUUUAACUCAUCAAUGACAUCUCUUUUUUUCCUUUUCUUUUCAUUUAGUCAAUUACAAGUGAUAAUGAUGUGUUCUUCUCUUGGCUAAGAUGGAAUCGUUCCACUCACCCCACUUCCCCCUCUUACAGGUGAACGAUCCCAGCCGUCACACCGCAGGCAAGCAUGAGCCCCCGAGGAUUGCCCUGAACACAGAGGGGCCAGGCCAGAGCCUUGGGACUUGAGGAGUGACACGGCAGUGAGUCCCCUGGCAUCCCUGCUGCCUCCCUCACACCUGGGACCGGGAACGGUGCUGCAGACACCCCUUAGCCCAGAACUGCUGACAGGUACAGACAAGGAAUCUCCAAGAAAAGCAGCUUCCCUAAGUCAAGGGUGGCAUGGGGGGGAUCUAGCAACAGGAAAUCACCCUCCAGCCUCCGGCCACACACAAAUUGAAAGGCGGAACCCCCUCUUUCCUCCUUGAGAGUUCAGCAGGUGGCUGAGUGCUCUGGUUGUGCUAGGCAGCACCUUCGAGGCACAGGGACUUCCCAAGUCCUGGCUCAGCAGGACCCACCAGGCAGCUGGGCUCAUGCUCCACUUGAAAGCAAGCCAGCAAUGGGUUCAGCACACUGGUUUUCCUGGGUCGGGGCAGUGAUGCUGAUGGGGAGUGAACUUCUUCCCUGUUCACCCACAGCAAGGUGAGGGGUGCGGGGGCUCCAUGUGGGAGACAGACACACGGCCCCACCCAGUCCCUGUGCUGCAUCUCAGCGUGUGGCCAGCCUGCUAAAAACACAAACCUUGGUAGGACUCAGACCACUGCGCUGGUGAUCACACGAACGUACCCCUCAGAUAAAACAGCACGCGCAGACAUGAGCGCAGGCAAAAGGGUGAAACCUUUAAAAAGGUCAGUGGGUUUUGUUGACGUUAAUUUAGUGUGAUAAUGUUGUGUGGUGAUGCUGGAGGGGGUCACUGGGAGAAACCGGGCGAAGGUAUGACUCAGAAUCUCUCUGUUCUCUUCUACAACUGCUUGUGAAUCUAUAGUAAUCUUAACAUUAAAAAUGUGAAGAACUAUAAAAAGAGCA